GCCGGGAUGGCGGAAUUGGUAUACGCGAUGGACUCAAAAUCCAUUGUUCGCAAGGACUUGAGGGUUCGAGUCCCUCUCCCGGCACCA
rnacentral:tRNA from 1 species